UACGAAGGGGGCUAGCGUUGCUCGGAAUCACUGGGCGUAAAGCGCACGUAGGCGGCUUGUUAAGUCAGGGGUGAAAUCCUGGAGCUCAACUCCAGAACUGCCUUCGAUACUGGGAGCUCGAGUCCGGGAGAGGUGAGUGGAACUGCGAGUGUAGAGGUGAAAUUCGUAGAUAUUCGCAAGAACACCAGUGGCGAAGGCGGCUCACUGGCCCGGUACUGACGCUGAGGUGCGAAAGCGUGGGGAGCAAACAGG
rnacentral:rRNA from 1 species